rnacentral:rRNA from 1 species
CACUCUAUUUGAUUUUCUUCGGAAAUGAAGAUUUUGUGACUGAGUGGCGGACGGGUGAGUAACGCGUGGGUAACCUGCCUCAUACAGGGGGAUAACAGUUGGAAACGACUGCUAAUACCGCAUAAGCGCACAGGAUCGCAUGAUCCGGUGUGAAAAACUCCGGUGGUAUGAGAUGGACCCGCGUCUGAUUAGCCAGUUGGCAGGGUAACGGCCUACCAAAGCGACGAUCAGUAGCCGACCUGAGAGGGUGACCGGCCACAUUGGGACUGAGACACGGCCCAAACUCCUACGGGAGGCAGCAGUGGGGAAUAUUGCACAAUGGGGGAAACCCUGAUGCAGCGACGCCGCGUGAGCGAAGAAGUAUUUCGGUAUGUAAAGCUCUAUCAGCAGGGAAGAAGAAUGACGGUACCUGACUAAGAAGCACCGGCUAAAUACGUGCCAGCAGCCGCGGUAAUACGUAUGGUGCAAGCGUUAUCCGGAUUUACUGGGUGUAAAGGGAGCGCAGGCGGUGCGGCAAGUCUGAUGUGAAAGCCCGGGGCUCAACCCCGGUACUGCAUUGGAAACUGUCGUACUAGAGUGUCGGAGGGGUAAGUGGAAUUCCUAGUGUAGCGGUGAAAUGCGUAGAUAUUAGGAGGAACACCAGUGGCGAA